ACAAAGUUUUACUUCUGUUUUAAUUUGCUGUCACUUUUAAAAGAUUAUAAAGAAAUGAUUAAGUGUUGUAGUAGUUUGCGUGUAUCUCUUCAUAUUUGUAUCUGUACCUGUAAUUUGCUCGUUGGCUAGACCAUCAAUUUACCCGGCAUGAAAAACGGUUCAAUAAUCAGCCGAAAUUAUUGUAUUUGCAUAGCACCUACUAGACAUUUUAGUAACUGGCCCGCUACUUUAACUUCGACUCUGUCGGUUAAUGAACAAAACAUUUGUAAGAAAAUUAGAGGGUUGCUUUCACAAAGAACAGUAAAUAAUUUGAAAAAUAGAGGGAAGACACUGUUUGGAGUUAACCAAAUCCACCAGUAAAUAUCACACACCCUGUAUGUAAUUAACCCACAUGUGAAAGUAUGGAUGGGAAUCUGAAGAGCUAACAGUGACAAAUUGGUUAAGACUUUCGCGACCAGUAUGUGAACUAAUGCUGUUCUGAUUCGAGUCUUAAGGCCGUUGUGUGCUAAAUUUGCUUGCUAACGUUUCGCUAGCAUGAGUGGUUCUUCCAUCUCUGUUCCAUCCAUAGAUAAUAGGUUCCAUCUCCGAUGCUGGAUCUGCACCACACCCAACAGUAUAUAUUCAUA